AUUGAACGCUGGCGGCAGGCCUAACACAUGCAAGUCGAGCGGAGCGGCGGACGGGCGAGUAACGCCUAGGAAUCUGCCUGGUAGUGGGGGAUAACGUCCGGAAACGGGCGCUAAUACCGCAUACUCUCAGCUGAGCCUAGGUGGGCUUAGCUAGUUGGUCGGGUAAAGGCCUACAAAGCCGACGAUCCGUAACUGGUCUGAGAGGAUGACCAGCCACACUGAGACUGAGACACGGUCCAGACUCCUACGGGAGGCAGCAGUGGGGAAUAUUGCACAAUGGGCGCGAGCCUGAUGCAGCCAUGCGGAGUGUAUGAAGGAGGCGUUCGGGUUGUAAAGUACUUUCGGCGGUGAGGCGUUACCCGCAGAGGAAGCACCGGCUAACUCCGUGCCGGCAGCCGCGGUAAUUC
rnacentral:rRNA from 1 species